AUUGAACGCUGGCGGAAUGCUUUACACAUGCAAGUCGAACGGCAGCACGGACUUCGGUCUGGUGGCGAGUGGCGAACGGGUGAGUAACAUAUCGGAACAUAUCCAAUAAUGGGGGAUAACUAAUCGAAAGGUUGGCUAAUACCGCAUACGCCCUACGGGGGAAAGCAGGGGAUCUUCGGACCUUGCGUUAAUGGAGCGGCUGAUAUCUGAUUAGCUAGUUGGUGAGGUAAAGGCUCACCAAGGCGACGAUCAGUAGCUGGUCUGAGAGGACGACCAGCCGCACUGGAACAGAGACACGGUCCAGACUCCUACGGGAGGCAGCAGUGGGGAAUUUUGGACAAUGGGCGAAAGCCUGAUCCAGCCAUUCCGCGUGAGUGAAGAAGGCCUUCGGGUUGUAAAGCUCUUUCGCAAGGGAAGAAAACUUACUUUCUAAUAAAGAGUGAGGUUGACGGUACCUUGAUAAGAAGCACCGGCUAACUACGUGCCAGCAGCCGCCGUAA
rnacentral:rRNA from 1 species